rnacentral:rRNA from 1 species
GUAGGUGGCAAGCGUUGUCCGGAAUUAUUGGGCGUAAAGCGCGCGCAGGCGGGUUCUUUAAGUCUGAUGUGAAAGCCCACGGGCUCAACCGUGGAGGGUCAUUGGAAACUGGAGAACUUGAGUACAGAAGAGGAAAGCGGAAUUCCACGUGUAGCGGUGAAAUGCGUAGAGAUGUGGAGGAACACCAGUGGCGAAGGCGGCUUUCUGGUCUGUAACUGACGCUGAGGCGCGAAAGCGUGGGGAGCAAACAGGAUUAGAUACCCUGGUAGUCCACGCCGUAAACGAUGAGUGCUAAGUGUUAGGGGGGUUUCCGCCCCUUAGUGCUGCAGCUAACGCAUUAAGCACUCCGCCUGGGGAGUACGGCCGCAAGGCUA